rnacentral:rRNA from 1 species
UACGGAGGGUGCGAGCGUUGUCCGGAAUCAUUGGGCGUAAAGGGCGCGUAGGCGGCUUCUCAAGCGUGCGGUGAAAGUCAGGGGCUCAACCCCUGAUCGGCCGUGCGAACUGGGGGCUGGAGCACUGUAGAGGCAGGCGGAAUUCCGGGUGUAGCGGUGGAAUGCGUAGAGAUCCGGAAGAACACCGGUGGCGAAGGCGGCUUCCUGGACAGUUACUGACGCUGAGACGCGAAAGCGUGGGGAGCAAACAGG